CAGUCGCCGCGGGAAUACGAAGGGGGCUAGCGUUGCUCGGAAUGACUGGGCGUAAAGGGCGUGUAGGCGGUUUUGACAGUCAGAUGUGAAAUUCCUGGGCUUAACCUGGGGGCUGCAUUUGAGACGUUAAGACUAGAGUGUGAGAGAGGGUUGUGGAAUUCCCAGUGUAGAGGUGAAAUUCGUAGAUAUUGGGAAGAACACCGGUGGCGAAGGCGGCAACCUGGCUCAUUACUGACGCUGAGGCGCGAAAGCGUGGGGAGCAAACAGGAUUAGAUACCCCCGUAGUCCCUGUCUCUUAUAC
rnacentral:rRNA from 1 species